ACAAGCAGUGGGAGCCUCUUUUAUGGGGUGACUGCGUACCUUUUGUAUAAUGGGUCAGCGACUUAUAUUCUGUAGCAAGGUUAACCGAAUAGGGGAGCCGAAGGGAAACCGAGUCUUAACCGGGCGUUAAGUUGCAGGGUAUAGACCCGAAACCCGGUGAUCUAGCCAUGGGCAGGUUGAAGGUUGGGUAACACUAACUGGAGGACCGAACCGACUAAUGUUGAAAAAUUAGCGGAUGACUUGUGGCUGGGGGUGAAAGGCCAAUCAAACCGGGAGAUAGCUGGUUCUCCCCGAAAGCUAUUUAGGUAGCGCCUCGUGAAUUCAUCUCCGGGGGUAGAGCACUGUUUCGGCAAGGGGGUCAUCCCGACUUACCAACCCGAUGCAAACUGCGAAUACCGGAGAAUGUUAUCACGGGAGACACACGGCGGGUGCUAACGUCCGUCGUGAAGAGGGAAACAACCCAGACCGCCAGCUAAGGUCCCAAAGUCAUGGUUAAGUGGGAAACGAUGUGGGAAGGCCCAGACAGCCAGGAUGUUGGCUUAGAAGCAGCCAUCAUUUAAAGAAAGCGUAAUAGCUCACUGGUCGAGUCGGCCUGCGCGGAAGAUGUAACGGGGCUAAACCAUGCACCGAAGCUGCGGCAGCGACACUGUGUGUUGUUGGGUAGGGGAGCGU
rnacentral:rRNA from 1 species